ensembl:lncRNA
AUGUCAAACCUUUACAGGAUUAGUUUAUUUAGAUCUUGGAGCCAAGAAGACCAAAUCAAGGAUACACCCUCCAAGAGGAGAUUAUUCAUUCAGCGCAGGGAGGCCCAGAUGGUUAUCAGGAGACUUCUGGCUCGCCGUGCACCUCAUCUGAGGCACAGGCAAAAAUAGAAGCAGAGGAUUAGGCCACACCUGCAGCCUGAGACGGGCAGACAGGACCUGCCUCAUGUGGGUCCCUCAGGCGGAUGAGUCCCAGACUGAUCUGACAGUGUGACAGGCCUCAGCAUGAUGCUCAACCUAAAAUAAUCACACUAUGUCUCCACAUGUGUGCUUUAUUGUUUUACUCUCAUUAGAGGUGUUUGCUAAGGCAAGUGUCAAAUCACUCAACUUGUACGUGAGUUUAUUGUAUUGCCACGAAAUAAACAAAUUAAAAAGAUAACGGCGACUUUUUUA